UACGUAGGUGGCAAGCGUUGUCCGGAAUCACUGGGCGUAAAGCGCACGUAGGCGGAUUGCUAAGUCAGGGGUGAAAUCCUGGAGCUCAACUCCAGAACUGCCUUUGAUACUGGCGACCUUGAGUUCGGGAGAGGUGAGUGGAACUGCGAGUGUAGAGGUGAAAUUCGUAGAUAUUCGCAAGAACACCAGUGGCGAAGGCGGCUCACUGGCCCGAUACUGACGCUGAGGCACGAAAGCGUGGGGAGCAAACAGG
rnacentral:rRNA from 1 species